AAAACAACUCCCAGACAACCUAUUCACGUGAGAGCUCAAAGCAGCCAUAAUUUUCUGCACUCAAAAUCUUUCCGGUAAGGUUCUCCGCGUAUUGUCUCCUUGGUAAUUGGAAAACAUGGGACUGGGAGUGCAAUUGCAGGGCAUCUCCAGUCCUCCAGGAUACGAUCUGGCUGCUACAGAAGAGGACCAGGAGGAAGCUCUGCUCAGAAAAAGGAUAGAAAGGCAGCAUGGAAACCCUGCUUCAAGGAAACACGAGAUUCACUAUGCUCUUGGCGAACCUCCCGCGAAAAGAGACUUCUAGGUGAGCCACAGUCGUGAGUUUGGAUAACAUGGGAAUAGCUUCCUGGAAAGUGGCGUUCCACUUGCAGUUACUCCAAGAGUUGCAAAAAGAACAGAGAACCUGAUUUAAGAGGAGGGGAGUCUUGCAGAGUCGCGGGAGCUCUGGUCCUGGAGAUUCAGCCAUGCGCACAUUUGUGCGCACUCAGUGCCUGCUGAUUCUGCUGAGCAGCAAACUGUGCACUGCUCAGGCUUCGGAACUUUUACAAAUAAUUCGUAGCCAAAAGGACGUCUUGCGGAAUUGUUACCUAUGAAGAGGUUAAGGAAAAAUUCAGCACCGAAAUCCUAGUCUUGAUUCUGAACACUCUACUUGCUCUGUUCUCCCUUAGGGAGGAAGGAUCCCCAGAGAGGCUCCCUGACCACUGCAAGCACUUCUCAAAGGGCUUGAAGGAGCUCAACGAAAAAACCCCAUUGCUGCCCAAGACUUCUGAGAGCCAAACUGGUAGAUUUGUGCAACCUGCAGUGAAAUUGUCCACACCGAUACGCAAAGGUUAAACUCUGUGCCUUUAUAAGCAGGCAGAAAGGAUUCCAGUUUCCUUAGGUGUUCGCUGAUUGGGAUCCGGAAGACCACAGCAAAUGGAUUCGCUUCCUCCUUUGUGCUUUCUCCUCCAGGGAGGAAGGAUCCCCAGAGAGGCUCCCUGACCACUGCAAGCACUUCUCAAAGGGCUUGAAGGAGCUCAACGAAAAAACCCCAUUGCUGCCCAAGACUUCUGAGAGCCAAACUGGUAGAUUUGUGCAACCUGCAGUGAAAUUGUCCACACCGAUACGCAAAGGUUAAACUCUGUGCCUUUAUAAGCAGGCAGAAAGGAUUCCAGCUUCCGUAGGUGUUCGCUGAUUGGGAUCCAGAAGACCACAGCAAAUGGAUUCGCUUCCUCCUUUGUGCUUUCUCCUCCAGGUGUUGUGAGACCUUGUGCUCUUGUCCUGAAAUCAUUUAGAAAAGUUUACCUGCUGCCAUUUAUGUUAACUUAGAAAGUAACUUGUCCAAAUUCCUCAGGGAGGAAGGAUCCCCAGAGAGGCUCCCUGACCACUGCAAGCACUUCUCAAAGGGCUUGAAGGAGCUCAACGAAAAAACCCCAUUGCUGCCCAAGACUUCUGAGAGCCAAACUGGUAGAUUUGUGCAACCUGCAGUGAAAUUGUCCACACCGAUACGCAAAGGUUAAACUCUGUGCCUUUAUAAGCAGGCAGAAAGGAUUCCAGCUUCCGUAGGUGUUCGCUGAUUGGGAUCCAGAAGACCACAGCAAAUGGAUUCGCUUCCUCCUUUGUGCUUUCUCCUCCAGGGAGGAAGGAUCCCCAGAGAGGCUCCCUGACCACUGCAAGCACUUCUCAAAGGGCUUGAAGGAGCUCAACGAAAAAACCCCAUUGCUGCCCAAGACUUCUGAGAGCCAAACUGGUAGAUUUGUGCAACCUGCAGUGAAAUUGUCCACACCGAUACGCAAAGGUUAAACUCUGUGCCUUUAUAAGCAGGCAGAAAGGAUUCCAGCUUCCGUAGGUGUUCGCUGAUUGGGAUCCGGAAGACCACAGCAAAUGGAUUCGCUUCCUCCUUUGUGCUUUCUCCUCCAGGGAGGAAGGAUCCCCAGAGAGGCUCCCUGACCACUGCAAGCACUUCUCAAAGGGCUUGAAGGAGCUCAACGAAAAAACCCCAUUGCUGCCCAAGACUUCUGAGAGCCAAACUGGUAGAUUUGUGCAACCUGCAGUGAAAUUGUCCACACCGAUACACAAAGGUUAAACUCUGUGCCUUUAUAAGCAGGCAGAAAGGAUUCCAGUUUCCUUAGGUGUUCGCUGAUUGGGAUCCGGAAGACCACAGCAAAUGGAUUCGCUUCCUCCUUUGUGCUUUCUCCUCCAGGGAGGAAGGAUCCCCAGAGAGGCUCCCUGACCACUGCAAGCACUUCUCAAAGGGCUUGAAGGAGCUCAACGAAAAAACCCCAUUGCUGCCCAAGACUUCUGAGAGCCAAACUGGUAGAUUUGUGCAACCUGCAGUGAAAUUGUCCACACUAUACGCAAAGAUUAAACUCUGUGUCUUUAUAAGCAGGCAGAAAGGAUUCCAGCUUCCUUAGGUGUUCGCUGAUUGGGAUCCAGAAGCCCGCAACAAAUGGAUUCGCUUCCUCCUUUGUGCUUUCUCCUCCAGGGAGGAAGGAUCCCCAGAGAGGCUCCCUGACCACUGCAAGCACUUCUCAAAGGGCUUGAAGGAGCUCAACGAAAAAACCCCAUUGCUGCCCAAGACUUCUGAGAGCCAAACUGGUAGAUUUGUGCAACCUGCAGUGAAAUUGUCCACACCGAUACGCAAAGGUUAAACUCUGUGCCUUUAUAAGCAAGCAGAAAGGAUUCCAGCUUCCUUAGGUGUUCGCUGAUUGGGAUCCAGAAGACCACAGCAAAUGGAUUCGCUUCCUCCUUUGUGCUUUCUCCUCCAGAUGCGUGGGUGAGCUUGAAGAUGGUUGAGGACCAAUAACCUGAGAAAGAGAAAUGUAUCCAAGCCCUUUAUGUGAGAUAGUGUAACUUUGUGAUAAACAGAUAUACCAGUGAGGGGGAGUCAUUCGGUGAAACAAGGAGAGGAUUCCUGAUAGAAUUGGGGCGGAGGGAGAGAACCUGGAAGAAGCCUAUCUUGGCAUUCUUGAUACUACACUGCCAUCCAGCGGAAUUACUUUGCUGUACUGCCACCACCUCUAUGAAGCUUUUUCUCAGCCUAUCUGAAAGUGAGUUGUGAGUGCCCAGGACUUCUGGUUCAAAUACUGAAUCAGCAAUCAAUGAACAAAUGAAGGUACGUCCAGCCAACUGACCUGUUCUGGGGUUAGACAGGGUUUGUUUUUGGAGUAAUAAAUUCAGCUACUCGGGAAUUUGGCUCCAGCUGCAGAUGUAGCAGAGGAGAUGGCUUUGCUUGGCAUCAAUAGGAGGAGAUGCCCUUGGUCCUAUAAAGGCUAAAUACCCCAGUGUAGGGGAAUACCAGAGAUUUGAGGUGAGAGUGGGUACAUCCUCAUAGAACCAGGUAGAUGAGGGAGGGGAAUGGGAGGGGAGAAUAACAUUUGAAAUGUAAAUACAUAAAAUAUUCAAUUAAAAAAAACCAGUAGGAUUAAUUCAGAAAGACUGGUGGUCAGAAAAACUCAACCACAUUGUAGUCUCCUGGCAAAGAGAAACCCCAGGGUCAAGGUCAAAAUGACUCCUCCACCAUGUGGUGACUGUUUUAAGUAGGAAGCUGACCUGUUCAACCAGAGGAAUCAUGGGUAGAAUAAGUCCCAACUUUGACAGGUGGCAGAAAUGGAGCUAUAUUCUCCUAGACUUCAGAGUAAGCUAGCUGUGUGUUCCUGUGUUUUACACUUGCAUCUCAAGAUGUCCUCUGCAGAGGAAGCAAGGUCAUAGAGUAUCCAGAAUCCAUGGCAAAGUCUCUUGCCUCUAGUAGGUUGGAAGACAUUACUAAACUCAGACACAGGAACAUGGUUAGUCUACAGUGUAAGUCUUUUAGAGACUCAACCUCUGCAUAGAAUAGAUGGGUACACCUGACAGGCAGUGCUCAGAUCACUGAGCAGUGACAUUCUGUUCCGUUGGGAGGUGCAAGUCUUUGUUUUCGAUGCUCUGCCCAAGACCCUUCCCUUGAAAGUGUGUGAAAGGUGCCAGGUCCAGUCUUUAGGUAUGUCUUGCCUUGGGCCAGUGAGAACUUGUAGCAAGACAGUCAGGCACAAGAGCUUCAUCCAUAUCUCCAUAAUGAAAUUUGCUCUACCUCAGAAGCUCCCUCUUGUGUAUCUUAAGGCCUUCUUUCUCAGGGAAAUUACAUGCUUCACAAUAGUCACAAAUAUUAUAAAAUACCCUGGGGUAACUCUAACCAAACGAGUGAAGGUUCUGUAUAUAACAACUUCAAGUCUCUAAAUAAAUAAAUAAAUAAAUAGGAAGAAGAGCUCAGAAAAUGGAGAGAUAUCCCACAAUUAUGAACUAGUAGGCUAAACCUAGUAAAAUGGCCAUCUUAACAAAAUCAGUUUACAGAUUAAAUGCAAUCCCCAUCAAAAUCCCAACACAAUUCAUUAAAAACAUGGAAAAAGCAAUUCUCAAUUUCAUGCUGCACAUGAUUUUUAAAAACCAAGAUCCACAUACAAGUAGUACUAUUUCCCUGUGAGAAAAUGAAAUACGGGCAAAUAUCUUUUCUGGCAGAGGCUGAGUAGGAUAGUGGAAAGUAUUGUUUAUAGACAACGAGAUCAUAAUAUUUUCCAGGAACGGUCAAAGAGAUGGAAUACAGCCAGAACUGAGGAGCUAGUGGGUUGGUAGCAGCUGGGAUAGGCUAACAGUUCUUUGAAAUUUACUAGUUCCCAGUUAGGUUCAAUGGGAGCCUACUGUUUCAUUAGAGUCUGAAAUUGCCUCAACACAAAAUCUCAUGUGAGCAGCCAGUACUGGUGCAUACCUUUAAUCACAGCACAUAGGAGGCAGAGUUAUGCAGAUUUCUUGGAGUUCAAGGUCAGCCUGGUCAACAACACAAGUUUCAGGAGAGCCUGACCUGCUACAGAGAGAAACUCUGUCUCGGAAAACAAAAGGUUGGGGCAAAACAGCUCAUGUGAGCUAUGCAAGAUGGCUGACAGACACAACUGAGUACACAGACAGGGUCCUAGAAUUCUUAGGCUAGGGUCUCAGGGAAAGAAAACCAAAGGGUUCUGAUGACAGUUGUCCUUUCUCCUCUUUCUCCUCUGGUUCUCUUCCAUGGUCUGAGGAACUGGGGCUGUGAAAAUAGAAACAAUCCCUAUGUAUUCUCUACUCUGCACAAGCUGGAGUCUCCUCAUCCUUGGCCAUGUGUGGCUGGCACGUAGACUUGCAGACUGGAGAUGCCCUGGAAUUGAACUCACUGCCCCAUGUUUGCAGAACAGUUAAGAAAAAACAUACCUGGAGAACCUUACUAGGAAGAUUUUGAGGGCUGAAAGUUAUGGCUGCUUUGAGCUCUCAAGGGAACUGAUGCCUGGGAUCCUAAGGAUCUGAAUACAUGGAGAAGGACAAAGAAAUUUCCAAUCUGAGGUCUUUGGAUCCUUAAGCCAAUAGAACAGAAUAGAGAGGAGAGCUGCUAACCAAACACUUCGGUCUUCUUGUCUAAAGAUCUCAACUUAUGGAGUCCAUGACCCUGGAUUUGCAUGGGUGGAUGUUCUGGGCCAUUGCUACAUCAUGGAUGUUUUCCCGGCCUGUGGGUUGUGUGGGGACCUGAUUUGAUGCUGAACCACGGAUUCCAAGUCCAAGACAAAGAGAGCUCUCCCAGCAAAACUCCUGAAGUACAGCAGAAGAAUAAAGGGAAUAAAAAGGAAGCCAAAAGACAGAAAAUACAGAAAGGAAGGGAAGAAAAAAAGCAGAGACAACAGGCUGAGUAUCUAAGAGUGGAAGGAGGGAAGGAAUGAAAAAGAGGGAGUAAUGGAAGUGAGAGUAGGGUAGAGAGUAUGAUGAAUUGAAAGGACUGACAUAUUUUUGACCUCUAGAUGGCAUUUCUCGAGACCCUGAAGCUCAUGAACAAAGUCCAGAAUCUCAUGGGCACUGGCUGAUUCCAAGAAAUGAGAUAUAUAUGCAGAAAGGUAUCUAAAAAACAGGUCAGAGGCAAUUGGGGGAGAUUCCUAACCUUGAUCAGCAAGUUACCCACAUAUCUGUGCCCCAGUUGAUGAAUCCGAAAUAGUGUUCCUCAUCACUGUGCAAACAUGGCCGCCUCGAGAUCACAAAGCCCAUAUUCGCAAGUAGCUGAAUUUAUUACUCAGAGAAGCAAGCUGGCUAACCGCAGAACCUGCCAGUUGGCUCAAGCUACCUUCACUUUAAUAUUUGAACCAGAAGCUGAAGCACUCCUCACCCACUACCAGACUUGCCAAGGAAAAGCUUAUGGAGGUGUUGAUAAGAACAGCAAAGCAAUUCCACUGGAUGGCAGUGUAGUAUCAAGAAUGUGAAGAUACCCUUCUUACAGGUUCUCUCCCUCCGCCCUUCUUGGAGUGAAAAAAAAAAAAAAAACUGAAACAGUUCAACAUAACACUUGACUCUGAUAUAUGUUAGAUAGAAAUUGGUUCCUUAUGUCUACAGUACCUAUUAUCACUGAUCUGACCUGGGUGGUCUCUGUUUCAGUGUAUUAAGAUAUUCUCCCACAAGGACAGGGACCAUCCUCAAGGCAUAAGGGCCAAACAGGAAAACCCAAUGAGGAUCCCUUCCCCUGGAUGCAAGGGUCAGGAGAAGCCAUAGAAACAAACUUCUAGCCAGAGACUUAGUCUGGGGCACAGUACAGCACCAUCAGUUCAGCACUCGAGUUCGCACUAAAUUCGGAACUGCAAAGCUAGAAAGAAGAGUCAGAAGACGCAAUACAUAUAAAUUCUUCAGAAGAAACGGGACCUUGGGCUGAGUACAAGUCCCUCCUGUGCUACCAAGAUAUAUCUAUUCUUCAGUCCUUUGCCCCCAGACAUUUUGAGAGAAAACACACUGAAUUAUUGGUGGGAACAUUAAGAACAGAUCACUUGCUGACAGUAUUGAACCAAGAAGCCAAGGUACCCAUCUUUCAGGUUCUCUCCCUCCACCCUUCUUUGAUAAACAACAACAACAACAACACCACACACACACACACACACACACACACACACACACACACACACACACACACAUUUUGCCAAUAAAUCCCAAGUUGACUGACCUUAAUCAUGGCCUCCUUUGGCCAGAGAUGGGCUUUGGAGCUUCACUGUAUACAUACUGUCUCGGAGGUCACAGGCCACACAAGUUCCUCAUUCCCAGUCCAACACAAGAACGUGGCAUGCCCUCAGAAACAUACAGGAAAACUAAGAGCAAUGGUCAAAAGAAGGUCUACAAAUACAUUCUUAGGCAGAAACUUGACCUUGGGCAACAUAUGACUCACUCACAUCUUUCCAGAAAUAAUCUGACUGGCCCAUAUGUACAUAACUUAUAACUGGAAUUUUGUCAGUGAGUGCCAAGGUAAACCAUAGAGUGUUCAGUCCUCCCACGGGGAAGAAGAGAUUGUAUAGCCAUUCGACAACCAAGCUUCUAGUUCAAGGCUACCUGAUUCUUCUCCCUACACAUACAUACCAGGCUCCUGACAGGAAAAGUUGGAAGGACAAAUAAGGAAGACAGUUGGAACAAUAGAGACAACCAGCUAUUCAAACAGAGUCAAGGGCCAGUGAUACAUUCAAACCUAGAAGAAGGAGAUGCCAGGUUGUAGUGAAGAAGAAAAAAAAAAAAAAAAACCACACACAAACACACAGAUGCUUUCCUUUUUGAGUGCCCUAGUUCCUUUUUUACAAACCAGAGUCAAAAUAAAAACUACAACUGUCACCCAAA